GGGGGAUAUUGGACAAUGGGCGCAAGCCUGAUCCAGCCAUGCCGCGUGUGUGAAGAAGGCUCUAGGGUUGUAAAGCACUUUCAGUAGGGAGGAAGGCCAGAKUGUUAAUAGCGCUUNGGAAUGACGUUACCUACAGAAGCAGCACCGGC
rnacentral:rRNA from 1 species